rnacentral:rRNA from 1 species
UACAGAGGUCCCAAGCGUUACUGAGAAUCACUGGGUUUAAAGGGUGCGUAGGUGGCACGUUAAGUCGGUUGUGAAAUCCCCGGGCUCAACCCGGGAACUGCUUCCGAUACUGGCGUGCUUGAGGCCGGUAGGGGUCACUGGAACAGACGGUGGAGCGGUGAAAUGCGUAGAUAUCGUCUGGAACGCCUGUGGUGAAAACGGGUGACUGGGCCGGUUCUGACACUGAGGCACGAAAGCGUGGGGAGCGAACGGG